rnacentral:rRNA from 1 species
CGGCGAGUGAAGCGGCAACAGCUCAAAUUUGAAAUCUGGCCCUAGGCCCGAGUUGUAAUUUGCAGAGGAUGCUUUUGGUGAGGUGCCUUCCAAGUUCCCUAGAACGGGACGCCAGAGAGGGUGAGAGCCCCGUACAGUUGGACACCAAGCCUUUGUAAAGCUCCUUCGACGAGUCGAGUAGUUUGGGAAUGCUGCUCAAAAUGGGAGGUAUAUUUCUUCUAAAGCUAAAUACCGGCCAGAGACCGAUAGCGCACAAGUAGAGUGAUCGAAAGAUGAAAAGCACUUUGAAAAGAGGGUUAAACAGCACGUGAAAUUGUUAAAAGGGAAGCGCUUGUGACCAGACUUGCGUCCGGUGAAUCACCCAGCUCUCGCGGCUGGGGCACUUCGCCGGCUCAGGCCAGCAUCAGCUCGCUGUCGGGGACAAAAGCUUCAGGAACGUAGCUCUCUUCGGGGAGUGUUAUAGCCUGUUGCAUAAUACCCUUCGGCGGGCUGAGGUACGCGCUCCGCAAGGAUGCUGGCAUAAUGGUCAUCAGCGACCCGUCUUGAAACACGGACCAAGGAGUCAACCUUAUGUGCGAGUGUUCGGGUGUCAAACCCCUACGCGUAAUGAAAGUGAACGCAGGUGAGAGCUUCGGCGCAUCAUCGACCGAUCCUGAUGUUCUCGGAUGGAUUUGAGUAAGAGCAUAUAGGGUUGGACCCGAAAGAAGGUGAACUAUGCGUGUGUAGGGUGAAGCCAGAGGAAACUCUGGUGGAGGCUCGCAGCGGUUCUGACGUGCAAAUCGAUCGUCAAACAUGCGCAUGGGGGCGAAAG